GACGAACGCUGGCGGCGUGCUUAACACAUGCAAGUCGAAGAUAGUGGCGAACGGGUGAGUAAUACGUGGGUAACCUGCCCUCCUUUUUGGGAUAAGCCUUGGAAACGGGGUCUAAUACCGAAUAAAGGGGGAUGGGCGCGCGGCCUGUCAGCUUGUUGGUGGGGUGAUGGCCUACCAAGGCGGUGACGGGUAGCGGGCGUGAGAGGGGGCACGGCCACAUUGGGACUGUGAUACGGCCCAGACUCCUACGGGAGGCGGCAGUGUGGGAUAUUGGACAAUGGGUGAAAGCCUGAUGCAGCGUCGCCGCGUGGGGGAUGAAGGCUUUCGGGUUGUAAACCUCUUUCGCAAUCGAACGGGUAGGUGCAGAAGAAGCGCCGGCUAACUACGUGCCAGCAGCCGCGGUAAUUC
rnacentral:rRNA from 1 species